rnacentral:lncRNA from 1 species
ACAUAUUUCACGCUUUUGGCUUUAUUAUACCACGCGUCAAGGACGUUGCCGCGCGUCAGCGGUUGGCACCCUAGUGAUGUUGUACCAAAGCGCAGGAGCCGCUUCGGUCCCAACCCUACCCAUCACCCGGUAAAGGAGCGAAAUAUACUUUACAGCACAUCAGCUAAGACCACGGUUGGCUAUAGAAUGAACCGUUCCCCGCCCACGCAGCGACUAAGCAAAUCAGCUCGCUACAGUUGAGGUGGCACGCCCCUUUUUUCUUUCUCUUCUUUUUUCAGUUAAGAUCUACGACUAGUGUGUUGUAUUCCCCAUUUUCUGUUGAGCUUUCGCCCAAGCUCAAGCUGACAAGCUCCCAGCACUGCUUCUUUUAUAUAUAUAACUUAAUGGGAAAGGAGUACUUGCUAGCCCGUACAGUUUGUUACAAUUAACAAAUUGUACGUGCGAGCAAACUCAUAACUUCCUGUUAAGUUAAUUUUAAAAUAGUGGAGGAUGUGACGUCGGCGCCAUCUUGAAGUUGACGCAGGAUGUCCAACUGCUCCAUAGUGAAUGAUGUGACGCCAGGGCCAUCUUGAAGUAGGCGGGAACUGCAGCGGGGGAUCACACAGCGCCUCCUUUGGAGACGACUACGGCGUUUAUUGUGGGGGUGGGGAGGGGGUACACAUAAGCUGGGAGUUGAGGUGCAAGGCGUGGCUGGUGCUGGGCAAUUCUAAUAUUGGGUUGUAGGAGAGAGUAGGGCCAUCUGGCAUCACAGAGUUGAUGUAACCGAACGGGAUAAGUGGGUCAGCCGCCCUAAGGACUUAAUUUUGGCAUCACCAAGAAACUCAUAUGACUACAAAGGAAAAUGAUUAUUAACAAUCACUGAAAUAACUUGGUCACAUUUUCCACCAUUCACCUUUUCAUUGUAGUCUUCCGGGUACAGCUUUUUAGUAGUUUCAAUAAACGUUUUCUGUACCGGGCAGGAAUACUGAAAACAAAAAUUAUUGAUUAUGUUUUUUAAUAAAAGAAAUUGAUUUGAAAUUUAAAAAUACUUGCAUGGUCCAGUACUUCGGUUUUCCGUCAUGCAAAAAAUUUACACUAGCAAAAUUAAGGUUUUCAACAUGAAUGCCCGUGUAACUUUGUGCCGGCCCAAUCGAUAGUUGGGGGGAGUUUACACCAGACAUCUGUGAUGUAGAAUAUUUCUGGUUCAGUCGAUGGGAAAUCGGGGAAAAUUGGGAAAAAUUUUUAGAUAGAAAUGGGGAAAAAUAUAAGGGGAAAAAUCGGGGAAAUUUUUCCCUUGGUUCACUUGAAAAAAGAGUUGGCAACCCGUUGGAGAGAAGAGGAAAAUUUAUUAAAUAAUUCUCCCAGCAAUUGCUAAGGUCAAUCAAGGUCUAUCUGGGCAACGGCGGCUUUUUUGGUGAAGAUGUCUACUCUGCUUGCUGAGGGCCUUUUUUAAAUAAUCCACCUUGUAGACGUUUUCUGUUAGGCCCUGCUUGGGGGAAUCCUUUUUCCAAUCUCAUCAAAAUGUAUUGAAGAAAAAGAUGAGAUUGGCGAGCCACUCGUCACGAGCGGUUAUAAGAUUCGAUUUUCGACAAUCGAAUCUGGAUUGCUAGAAUAGAGCGAAGGUCUUUUAUUUUAUUUGGGGGGGAAGGGGGACUCAAAAUUAAUUAAUUAGUGCUUAUUCGCCCAGCAGUGAAGGUAGCGAAAUUGCAUAUUUGCAGGACAGGCUGAUAAAUAUUCACGGACAAAGAUUGCGGGAGGGGGGGGGGUACACAUAAGAAGUUUGGAAUUGGGGUGCAAGACGGAUGCAAUUGUAAGUCCUGUUGACUACUACGCACUUCCAUAACUCUCUCCUCGGGCAUUCUGUUUGGAAGGUGCACUACCCGCCCGUCUUCAAACUCGACCCUACGGAUAUCAGCACCCUCGGUAGAACUUUCACUGCGUGAUGGGGAAUCCAUUUUUUUGAAGAGAACUUUAACUUUAGGAGAACACACAAACGAAUAUUGCACACUGUACGAAUGUAAAUGUUGGAGUGGGUGAACAAGGAUCGAUCUCUUGGCUAAUAACCCUCUUUCCUAUUUUGGAAAAAUGGAAAAAAAAAUUUCGAACAGAGAAGCCGAAUGGUGAGGGGAUGAGGGUGGGUUUGGGAGGGAGGUUCACCUUCAAUUCGUGCUAAGACUUUUUCUUCCCAUUACCCCAUACCUUGAACCACCUCGGGUGGUUUUGGUUUAUGACAAAACAUUUCUGUUUCGUCAUAUUUUCCAAACAUUUCAUGUUUCAGCCCCUGUGGGUAAACAUAAUUGUUUGGCUUUAGGUAAACAUUUGUCUGUUACCAAAAUGUAUUGAAGAAAAAGAUGAGAUUGGCGAGCCACUCGUCACGAGCGGUUUUAAGAUUCGAUUUUCUUGGUCUUUUAUUUUAUUUUUUGGGGGAAGGGGGACUCAAAUUAAUUAAUUAUUUAGCUCAUUCGGCCAGCGGUGAAGGGAGCGAAAUUGCACAUUUGCAGGACAGGCUGAUAAAUAUUCACGGACAAAGAUUGCGGGGGGGGGGGAGGGUACACAUAAGAAGUUUGGAAUUGGGGUGCAAGAAGGAUGCGUGUAAAGGGGGGGGGGUCUAUAUAUGGGGUUUUAUAUAUAUAACUUAAUGGUAAGUGAGUACUUGGUUGCCCGUACAGUUUGUUACAAUUAACAAAUUGUACGUGCGAGCAAACUCAUAACUUCCCGUUAAGUUAAUUUUCAAAUGGAGCAGUUGGACAUCCUGCGUUUCCAGGUCUGGAAAUCAAUUUUGUAUCAAAUAGGGCCAAUCAGCGUACAGCGUUUUAAUGAGGCUGUACGCUGAUUGCCCAUCAGUAAAGUUACUCAUUGGUUUUUCAAUUUGACCGCGACGAUGGUGAUGACGAUGUUGCGAUCGAACGAUGGCACGAUGAAACAACGAGGCGAUGGCAAGAUGAAAAGGUGGCACGAUGAAACAAUGUCACGAUGAAAGGAAGUCACGACGUCAAUCAAAUAAUUUAGUCAAAUCACAAUCAGCACAAAUGAAUCGACAAGAAAAAACAUAUAAGAAGUUUGGAAUUGGGAUGCAAGACGGAUGUGUUUAAAGGGGGGGGGGGUCUAUAUAUGGGGUUUUAUUAUAUAUAACUACGGAAAGUGAGUAAUUGCUUGUCCGUACAGUUUGUUAAAAUUAACAAAUUGUACGUGUGUGCAAACAACUGUUGGUAAGGUUAGGCCAACGGCCUGUAAGUCUGUUCGCUAAUGCGGGCAUAUAAGAGUCUCAUAAUCUAAACAGUGUGAGAGAGAAGCAAGGGGUUGCCGAUUCUUUUUCCUCUGGUUCAGUUGAUGGGACAUCGGGAAAAUUGGGAAAAUUUUUAGAUAGAAAUGGGUAAAUGGAACGGAAUUACGAGGCCUAAAUCUUGGGUUUUUCCAUCGAUGGCUUGGGUGAAAUGAAAAGCACAUCCAAAAUGCUUUAUACAUUUUUAAAGGUUUUCAACAUUGGGUUGAAGUUGAAUUUUUUUACGCAUUUCCACAAUGCCUUUUCAAAGUCUGAUACUAUUUCCUUAACUCUGGAAUCGUGAAGAAUUUGUAAAAAAAAUUUGAAAACCUUCUCAUAGUCUGUACUCUUUCUUCCAGACAUAAAAAUACUGAAUACUGUCAAUAGCUAGACGAAUACACAGAGGCGAGCAUUUUCAAAAGUUCUCAAGAACAAAGGGGAAAUGAUGAAGUUUUACGAGAUUCUAAGAAAAAGAAAAAAUUCAAUUAGAACUUUGUAAUGUGGCUACUGUAAAUUACUCGGACGACAGAGUGAUUGCUGAGGGUUGAUGAGGGCUUGAGGCACGGGUUUUUUUUCCGUGACCUGAAAGAGCGCCAAUAUAGUGGCCUGAAAGGGGAUGCCGUUUCACAAGCCAGUACCCGUUUUUAAGUAGCAAACCGCCACUGUGGAGGCAACUAUAUAUAACUAUAUAGACCUCAAUCAAGCAGAUCAAGGCGAAUUUAUCGUCAAAGCAGACUUUGAAGACCAAUUAGGAGGUAUACACACAUUUGCAGCAUGCGCGUGUUCCAGGCGAAUCAUGAAGUUAAUGACUUAAUUCGGCCCGCUAUUAGAGCUCAAAAUAGAACUAGAUGAUUGCGGCUCGAGAACUGAAAAGGUCCUCUCCCGAGCUGCAUCCCAUCUCAAGCUGGAGACUUCCAAGAGCGUCAAAUUGGGCAGCAACGCACAGAACGGCUAUUAUUUCCGGGUCACCCUAAAAUCUAAAAUGAAAGAAUCUUCGCAACAACGCAAUUACCAUGCAAUUGAUAGUAAUAAAGAUGACGUUCGAUUCCGGAACUCUGCCUUGGAAGAAGUCAACGAAACUUACUUGAGAGUGCGCCACGAUUAUGAGGAACAACAAAGUUCAGUUGUUAAAGAAAUCUUGUCAGUCGCUGCUGGAUACGUUGAACCUCUGCAGUCGUAGAACGAUGCCUUGUCAAAGCUGGAUGUACUGACAAGUUUCGCCGUAUGUUCAAUUAGCGCUCCAAUUCCGUACGUCAGACCGCAAAUCUUGGAGAAAGGAUCGGGGAGCAUUGAACUAAUUCAAGUCAGACAUCCAUGCAUGGGCCUAUGUUGGAAAGAUUCAAACUUUCGCCAAUCCAAAACCAAAUAAUCAAUGGGGAAUCCCCUUUGGUGCUGAACUGCUUACGCGCUGGCGUUUAAAUACGGCGACGGCCUUCGCUUAAUGAAAGUACCUUAGUACCCUCUUACCCUUCAUUUAAAAAAAUAUUUUGCCGGUAAAUUAGUUUUUUUCCCUUCUAUUUGCACGUAACUUUGAUUUUGCGGUGUGGAUAAUUUCGUUUUUUUGCAACAUUGCAGAUUAUUAUUACUGUUUGAAUUUGAAUAAAAACCAAAGUGCGCUGUUCGUGUGUGUUCGUGUUUGUACACAAUAGGGCAAUAUACUGUCAUCAUUCACAUUUCUUUGAAUAAAGAUGAAAUCAACAUAAUUUUGUUUCAAUUUUCUGUAUUUGCUUUGAUUCCAUAAUUUGUUGUAAAGAUUAAAAGCUAAAAAAAGUCACGGAACAUAAUUUGAGAUAAGAAAGAAGCGGAAUUUGUUUUUAAAAAGAACGAAUAAGUCAGGCCCCUUAAACCUCCUGGACGUUGACGUAGCCAGUAGUUGGCUGUUGACUGGUAGAUGACUCUUGGGACAUGAACUCAUCAACGAGGUUACCAAACCUCUCGGCAUUGCGACGACUGUAGGGCUCAUUCAUUUCGACGUAAUUGGUCCUGAUUGAUUCUUCCACAAAAUCGCCUAGCAUGUGCUCCAAUUGAGCAAAUGUCGGCCUUACAUUCGGAUCCGCUUUCCAGCACCUUGAAAUGAUUUCAGCCACACCAUUUGGAGCAUUUCGAGGCAUUUCCAUGCGACCUCCGCCCUCCAAGUGCUGAAUCAAUCCACCGAUGUCUUCCAUAUCUAGAAAAUAUGUCACUGAAAUUAGAUUUCGUUAAAAUCACUCGGCGAAUCGAAAGUAUUACCUGGAUAAGGAGCUUUGCCCAAGGAGAACAUUUCCCACAUGGUGAUCCCAAAAGCCCAGACGUCAGAUUGGCUGGAAUAGAUCCGAUCCGUCAGAGAUUCAAUAGCCAUCCAUUUCACCGGAAGCAUUCCCUAUACAUUAACCGUUGGAAUACAUAAAUAAAUAAUGGUUUUUUAGAAAAGACAGCAGUGUCACUUACUUCUCCCUUCUUUUUGUAAUUGCUGUCCUGGUAGACUUUGCGUGACAGUCCGAAAUCGGCGAUUUUGACAACCCCGUUGGUUGCCAAUAAAACAUUACGGGCUGCCAGAUCCCCGUGAAUCACCUACAAAAAUCAAAUAAGUGAAUAAAGGAAACCAACUUUGAUAAUCAAAGUGGCAAACUAACGUUUCUUCCCGACAAGUAGUCCAUGCCUCGAGCGAUUUGGAAUGCCCAACAGGUCAAAUCGCGAGUGGAAAACGGAUGAUUCGUCUGGUCAUCGGUACAUUCAACGUCGUUUGGUUGGCUUUGUGGUGUCCGACUAAACGACACUGAACCUGGGAAAAAGUUUUAUUGAAAUUUCGAAUGAAAAUUAAAUAAUAAUUUUCAUUUUACCAUGAUUAGUUAACAACAUGGCGAGAUAAUCCGUUUCGCGGGUUUCCUUGCGACUUCGCUUCCGUUCAGAUUUCGCUGGAAUAGGGGCGGGGGCAAGAGCAGGACUGCCCAUGUACAAGUAAUCACCAUUGCCACUAUUGCAAGUUUGGAUGACCAAUAAUUGUACAGUUCAAUAAAUAUGUUAUCAAUUGAAUGAAUAAAAUACCUGGACACAUCUUGGAAGGAAUCUAAUUGUGCCAACUCUCCAUUUUCAUUGACUUGAUCCAUGUAACAGUGUCGAUUGGCCAGCAGAUGGUUGAGCAGAUUGCCGAAAUGGCAAUACUCGACGAUAACGAGGAAA